UUGCGGCGGGCCUACACAUGCAAGUCGAGCGGAAACGAUCCUAGCUUGCUAGGAGGCGUCGAGCGGCGGACGGGUGAGUAAUGCAUAGGAAUCUGCCCGGUAGUGGGGGAUAACUUGAGGAAACUCAAGCUAAUACCGCAUACGCCCUACGGGGGAAAGCAGGGGCUCUUCGGACCUUGCGCUAUCGGAUGAGCUUAUGUCGGAUUAGCUGGUUGGUGAGGUAACGGCUCACCAAGGCGACGAUCCGUAGCUGGUCUGAGAGGAUGAUCAGCCACAUCGGGACUGAGACACGGCCCGAACUCCUACGGGAGGCAGCAGUGGGGAAUAUUGGACAAUGGGGGCAACCCUGAUCCAGCCAUGCCGCGUGUGUGAAGAAGGCCCUCGGGUUGUAAAGCACUUUCAGCGAGGAAGAAUGCUUGUCGGUUAAUACCCGGCAAGGGAGACAUCACUCGCAGAAGAAGCACCGGCUAACUCCGUGCCAGCAGCCGCGGUAAUACGGAGGGUGCGAGCGUUAAUCGGAAUUACUGGGCGUAAAGCGUGCGUAGGCGGCUUGAUAAGCCGGUUGUGAAAGCCCCGGGCUCAACCUGGGAACGGCAUCCGGAACUGUUAGGCUAGAGUGCAGGAGAGGAAGGUAGAAUUCCCGGUGUAGCGGUGAAAUGCGUAGAGAUCGGGAGGAAUACCAGUGGCGAAGGCGGCCUUCUGGACUGACACUGACGCUGAGGUACGAAAGCGUGGGUAGCAAACAGGAUUAGAUACCCUGGUAGUCCACGCCGUAAACGAUGUCGACUAGCCGUUGGGGUCCUCGAGACCUUUGUGGCGCAGUUAACGCACUAAGUCGACCGCCUGGGGAGUACGGCCGCAAGGUUAAAACUCAAAUGAAUUGACGGGGGCCCGCACAAG
rnacentral:rRNA from 1 species